CAAAACUUUCAACAACGGAUCUCUUGGUUCUGGCAUCGAUGAAGAACGCAGCGAAAUGCGAUAAGUAAUGUGAAUUGCAGAAUUCAGUGAACCAUCGAAUCUUUGAACGCACAUUGCGCCCGCCAGUAUUCUGGCGGGCAUGCCUGUCCGAGCGUCAU
rnacentral:rRNA from 1 species